rnacentral:rRNA from 1 species
ACUCCUACGGGAGGCAGCAGUGGGGAAUAUUGCACAAUGGGGGAAACCCUGAUGCAGCCAUGCCGCGUGUGUGAAGAAGGCCUUCGGGUUGUAAAGCACUUUCAGUAGGGAGGAAGGUAGUGUAGUUAACACCUGCACUAUUUGACGUUACCUACAGAAGAAGCACCGGCUAACUCCGUGCCAGCAGCCGCGGUAAUACGGAGGGUGCGAGCGUUAAUCGGAAUUACUGGGCGUAAAGCGCAUGCAGGCGGCCUGUUAAGUCAGAUGUGAAAGCCCGGGGCUUAACCUCGGAAUUGCAUUUGAAACUGGCAGGCUAGAGUCUUGUAGAGGGGGGUAGAAUUUCAGGUGUAGCGGUGAAAUGCGUAGAGAUCUGAAGGAAUACCAGUGGCGAAGGCGGCCCCCUGGACAAAGACUGACGCUCAGAUGCGAAAAGGCUGGGGGAGCAAAACAGGAUUAGAUACCCUGGUAGGAUAGCG